GAUGAACGCUGGCGGCGUGCCUAAUACAUGCAAGUCGAGCGAACAGACGAGGAGCUUGCUCCUCUGACGUUAGCGGUGGACGGGUGAGUAACACGUGGAUAACCUACCUAUAAGACUGGGAUAACUUCGGGAAACCGGAGCUAAUACCGGCUAACAUGUUGAACCGCAUGGUUCAACAGUGAAAGACGGUCUUGCUGUCACUUAUAGAUGGAUCCGCGCCGCAUUAGCCAGUUGGUAAGGUAACGGCUUACCAAGGCAACGAUGCGUAGCCGACCUGAGAGGGUGAUCGGCCACACUGGAACUGAGACACGGUCCAGACUCCUACGGGAGGCAGCAGUAGGGAAUCUUCCGCAAUGGGCGAAAGCCUGACGGAGCAACGCCGGGUGAGUGAAGAAGGUCAUCGGAUCGUAAAACUCUGUUAUUAGGGAAGAACAAAUGUGUAAGUAACUAUGCACGUCUUGACGGUACCUAAUCAGAAAGCCACGGCUAACUACGUGCCAGCCGCCGCGGUAA
rnacentral:rRNA from 1 species